UAUUUUGAAGAAGCAGAAGGCAUACUGUAUGGUGCAGGCAUCCCAGAAUAAGAUCACCCGUUCUCAAAUUUCGAUGCCCGCCAACAGCAUACCUACUUUUGAAGGGUUCACGUUUGUCAGCCAUUUUGAAUGUCAAAAAAUGUUAAAAACAAU